CACCAUCUCUGUUGCUUAUCCCCUCCCCCCUUCUUCCUCCGUCCGCAAAAUCUAUCUUCUCCUUUCGUGUGCAUCAACUCUUUCUUCCUCCUCUACUUACUUCACUCCGUACCAAAAUUCGUCCUGUGCAAGGCAUUGCCUCCGUACGUGCUUGGCAGCGGCAGAGAACACCGGCCGACGCUGGCUUAGCUUUGGCCGCAUGGUCUCGUUCAUCAAGCCAUGGCUCCUUCGUAGGAAGCCAAGGUUGACAAGGGGACAACGUGUAGAUCCACUACCAACAAGAAGCCGAAGAAAUGCAGGCUCAGGAUGACAGACCAAUCAGUCCUACAUGUCACUGACGUUCCAGCAACGCAAUCCGUCCGCUGCAAGCUCUCACCGAAGAAGAAGCAAGGCGGCGGGCUCGGGCCAAAGAAGCUCACCGGCUUAGAAGAUUCUGACGGCUCACAAAUCCUGACUGUCUAAUGCUACUUCAACACCGGUAAGGUGACAAGCAUCUCUCCCUUCUGGUACCCUGGUUUGCAGUCCACCGGCUUGGCCACGCUAAUCACUGCACAAGCAUCUGGUGGUGGGGACAAAAAAUGUAUUGGACUGUACUCAGAUGCAUAGAUCGCAAAAACAGAACCAUGACAUUUCCUGAUAAGCAAGUUAGAUGCAUGACUGUCAACGAUGUAGAGCUCAUAACCGGCAUAGAGUCUGGUCGCAUUCCCGUCCUAGAUCACCUCACCGCUUCUAAUAGACUCGACACAGUGUGGGCCGUGCAAGAUAUACUUGGCCUCAAGAACACAGCCAAUGGCUCAAUAGAAGUAGAGCAGCUAGUAGAUGUAAUCGACAAGAUAGAUCCACGCACAAAAAACAAAAAGAGCAUUGACAAAGCAAAUGUUGCAUAUACUCGCUUGUGUGUACCACCAUGGUUGCUCCAAAGUACACGAGACCAGCCGUGCUAGACGAAGUGCUGACAUGUGUGUUGGAUCCAUCUAAAAUUAACACGUACAACUGGGGUGAGUACCUGCUUGGAAAAGUCAUGGAGAGUGCAGAGAAAGUGCAAAAGCUUUACAAGGAGAAAGCAAAGAUCUGCAUGGUACGAGGCUUUCAGCUUUCCCCCAGUCAUUCUUUGUGGAGUGGAUGGAUUUCAAACAGCACAACCUGAAUGACAAAUCUUGGCCGCACAUCUCAGCUUACACAAAUGACAAACUCAAAGAAUUGUUCACAUUAGCGAGGAAAUCCAAAAAUCAUUUCAAACAAAAAGCAUUGACACAUACAAGGGGACACAUUGGCAACUUCAUCCAGUGCUCCGUCAGGAGCGUUCUUUUUCAAUUGAUGUAGCCACAGCUGCUGCCACACAGUAUGUCAAUGAUUCAGUUUGUCCAAGAAUCCGAGAUGCAGUUCUGCAUUUUGCAAUCAACCACAUACCACCUGGGGAAAAAUUGACAGACGAGCAUUAUAAGAGAUGUCUUUCCCUUGCUCUCUAGAUUUUCAACAGGAUUGAUGCAGGCUCCACAAAAUUGUCCAAAGAAUUUUUAGGCAUGCUAAUAGCUGCAGAAAAAGCCCAUACAAAAAACAAAAGACCUCCUCGAAGACUUCCUGAUCUAACAAGCAUAAAACCCCUAGCUUCUGAUGGAUGCAACAUCAAUAUCCAAGAUGACGGAAAGGCAUUGGCAGAAGCUGACAAGGUGGGGCAAGAUUGCAAUGCAAACAUUACACAGGACACCAUGCUGAGCUCUUCUACAACAUUGGAUGUCACCCAUGCAAGCACCCUCAUACCAAAAAUCCAGAAAUGAUUGUGCCCCUUUACUUGUCCAACAUCCAGGAUGCAAUAAACACAACGACCAUGACGGAAAGACAUUGUCAGUAACUCAUGAGGAGGGAUAGGAAUGCAAUCCAAACAUUACACAAGAAUGCAUGCCGAUCUCCUCUGUAGCGCUGAAUGUCACAUAUCUUCAGGAGCAAGUGCCCUCAGACCAGAUACUGGGAAAUGACUGUGCACCUUCGCUCGUCCAACAACCAGAAAAUAUAUCACCUAGAUUAACAAAGACACCUGCUGCCUCAUUGCCUGCCCCAGGACGGCUAGUGCUCCAAGAUAAUACUACCCCACUGGCGCCUCGUGCUCUCAUAUUCAACACUGCCUCCAUCGCUGAUGAUUCACCUAUUCCAGAUAACACUCCUGAUCCAACAAGAUUCCCAUCACCAAAGUGCCCAUGCACCCCCUUCCAUGACCGCAGUCAGAGCUACACAGAUAGCAUGUCGGAUUCAGUUGGUUGGACUAGCAAGCAACCACGGACAGAAAUUACAAGAAAGUUGGAUUACAAGAAGCGGAAAACAGAAUAUAUAUAUCAGUGCUCCUGUAACAAACAAAGAAUCCACAAGGCAUAACACCUCCAACUACCUAGUCUGUGGCUGCUAACUUAAAAUAUCAAAAUAAUGACUCGGUGCAUGUGAUACGUCCAUUUUGCAUCAUGCUUUUAUAUCAAUAUUUAUUGCAUUAUGGGCUGUUAUUACACAUUAUAUCUCAAUACUUAUGGCUAUUCUCUCAUAUUUUACAAGGUUUAUCAU